rnacentral:rRNA from 1 species
GGACGAACGCUGGCGGCGUGCUUAACACAUGCAAGUCGAGCGGUAAGGCCCUUUCGGGGUACGACGAGCGGCGAACGGGUGAGUAACACGUGGGUGACCUGCCCUCCAGCUCUGGGAGUAAGCCUGGGAAACCGGGGUACUAAUACCGGAUAUGACUCCAUGACGCACGUUGUGGGGUGGAAAGCCUUGUGCGGCUGAGGAUGGGCCCGCGGCCUAUCAGCUUGUUGGUGGGGUGAUGGCCUACCAAGGCGACGACGGGUAGCCGGCCUGAGAGGGCGACCGGCCACACUGGGACUGAGACACGGCCCAGACUCCUACGGGAGGCAGCAGUGGGGAAUCUUGCGCAAUGGGCGAAAGCCUGACGCAGCGACGCCGCGUGAGGGAUGACGGCCU